UCACUUCGGCAGUGUAUAUACUAAAAUUGGAAUGAUACAGAGAAGAUUAGCAUGGCCCUUGUGCAAGAUGACACACAAAUCUGUGAACCAUUCCAUUUUUUU